AACUUAGUUUUGGAGUGCGUGUCAGAAGUGCAUUUACAUAGGUAUUUCCCGUUUAGCAGUAUUUGUAAAUGCACUAUCUGGUACGACAUUCCAGAAUCAACAAUCAU
rnacentral:pre_miRNA from 2 species